rnacentral:rRNA from 1 species
UACACUCCUGCGGGAGGCAGCAGUGGGGAAUUUUGGACAAUGGGCGAAAGCCUGAUCCAGCAAUGCCGCGUGAGUGAAGAAGGCCUUCGGGUUGUAAAGCUCUUUUGUCAGGGAAGAAACGGUGAAAGCUAAUAUCUUUUGCUAAUGACGGUACCUGAAGAAUAAGCACCGGCUAACUACGUGCCAGCAGCCGCGGUAAUACGUAGGGUGCAAGCGUUAAUCGGAAUUACUGUGCGUAAAGCGUGCGCAGGCGGUUUUGUAAGUCUGAUGUGAAAUCCCCGGGCUCAACCUGGGAAUUGCAUUGGAGACUGCAAGGCUAGAAUCUGGCAGAGGGGGGUAGAAUUCCACGUGUAGCAGUGAAAUGCGUAGAUAUGUGGAGGAACACCGAUGGCGAAGGCAGCCCCCUGGGUCAAGAUUGACGCUCAUGCACGAAAGCGUGGGGAGCAAACAGGAUUAGAAACCCCGGUAGUCCCA